CAACCUGGCGGCGAGUGGCGAACGGGUGAGUAAUAUAUCGGAACGUACCCAAGAGUGGGGGAUAACGUAGCGAAAGUUACGCUAAUACCGCAUACGAUCUAAGGAUGAAAGCAGGGGAUCUUCGGACCUUGUGCUCCUGGAGCGGCCGAUAUCUGAUUAGCUAGUUGGUGAGGUAAAGGCUCACCAAGGCCACGAUCAGUAGCUGGUCUGAGAGGACGACCAGCCACACUGGAACUGAGACACGGUCCAGACUCCUACGGGAGGCAGCAGUGGGGAAUUUUGGACAAUGGGCGAAAGCCUGAUCCAGCAAUGCCGCGUGAGUGAAGAAGGCCUUCGGGUUGUAAAGCUCUUUUGUCAGGGAAGAAACGGUGAGGGCUAAUAUCCUUCGCUAAUGACGGUACCUGAAGAAUAAGCACCGGCUAACUACGUGCCAGCAGCCGCGGUAAUACGUAGGGUGCAAGCGUUAAUCGGAAUUACUGGGCGUAAAGCGUGCGCAGGCGGUUUUGUAAGUCUGACGUGAAAUCCCCGGGCUCAACCUGGGAAUUGCGUUGGAGACUGCAAGGCUAGAAUCUGGCAGAGGGGGGUAGAAUUCCACGUGUAGCAGUGAAAUGCGUAGAGAUGUGGAGGAACACCGAUGGCGAAGGCAGCCCCCUGGGUCAAGAUUGACGCUCAUGCACGAAAGCGUGGGGAGCAAACAGGAUUAGAUACCCUGGUAGUCCACGCCCUAAACGAUGUCUACUAGUUGUCGGGUUUUAAUUAACUUGGUAACGCAGCUAACGCGUGAAGUAGACCGCCUGGGGAGUACGGUCGCAAGAUUAAAACUCAAAGGAAUUGACGGGGACCCGCACAAGCGGUGGAUGAUGUGGAUUAAUUCGAUGCAACGCGAAAAACCUUACCUACCCUUGACAUGUACGGAAGACCGAAGAGAUUUGGUUGUGCUCGAAAGA
rnacentral:rRNA from 1 species